rnacentral:rRNA from 1 species
CGGCGGAUGGGUGAGUAACGCGUGAGGAACCUGCCUUCCACAAGGGGAUAGCCUCGGGAAACCGGGAUUAAUACCCUAUGACACUUAAAUGUCCCAUGACUUUUAAGUUAAAGCGUUAGCGGUGGAAGAUGGCCUCGCGUCCCAUUAGCUAGUUGGUGAGGUAACGGCUCACCAAGGCCACGAUGGGUAGCCGGCUUGAGAGAGUGACCGGCCACACUGGAACUGAGACACGGUCCAGACUCCUACGGGAGGCAGCAGUGGGGAAUAUUGCACAAUGGAGGGAACUCUGAUGCAGCGACGCCGCGUGAGCGAUGAAGGCCUUCGGGUCGUAAAGCUCUGUCCUAUGGGACGAUAAUGACGGUACCAUAGGAGGAAGCCCCGGCUAACUACGUGCCAGCAGCCGCGGUAAUACGUAGGGGGCGAGCGUUGUCCGGAAUUACUGGGCGUAAA